GUUAUAUGCUCAGUUCAAAAACUGUGCCAUGCAUGUCGAUCUCAACUUUGAAAUGAAACUGCUAACGGCUCAUAAGAGCUGAUGUAAUUUCCUCGGAAUUGCUGGAAUGGAUUACUGCGGUAAUUUUGGAGUUAAUACAUGCAACAUAAGUUUUGUUUUGUUCUACCAAUUCGCAGAAUUGGAAUAACGCAGCAUAUUUCAAGAAGGGACUACCCUCUUAACCUGAUGGUAGUCCAUUAGUUUACUAUGGUUAUUACGGCUAACGGAGAAUGAGUGUUCGACUCUAGAGAGGGAGCCUUAGAAACGCUACCACAUCGAAAGAAGACAGCAAACGCGAAACUUAUCCAAUCUUGAGGAGGUGAGAUAGUGACUAUAAUGAAGAGUAGAAGCACGUCUGGUGCCAGCAGUCGUAGUGAUUAGAGCUCCACUUGUGUAAAU
rnacentral:ncRNA from 1 species